rnacentral:rRNA from 1 species
UACAGAGGUCUCAAGCGUUGUUCGGAUUCAUUUGGCGUAAAGGGUGCGUAAGCGGCGCGGUAAGUCGGGUGUGAAAUCUUGGAGCUUAACUCCGAAACUGCAUUCGAUACUGGCGUGCUUGAGGACUGGAGAGGAGACUGGAAUUCAUGGUGUAGCAGUGAAAUGCGUAGAGAUCAUGAGGAAGACCAGUGGCGAAGGCGGGUCUCUGGACAGUUCCUGACGCUGAGGCACGAAGGUCAGGGGAGCAAACGGG